CCCCAGGGAUAACAGGCUCGUCGCGGGCGAGAGUCCCCAUCGACCCCGCGGCUUGGUACCUCGAUGUCGGCUCUUCCCAUCCUGGCCGUGCAGCAGCGGCCAAGGGUGCGCCUGUUCGGCGAUCAAAGGGGAACGUGAGCUGGGUUUAGACCGUCGUGAGACAGGUCGGAUUCUACCUGCUGGGAGCGGUGGCCGCUUGAGGGGAAGGCGCUCCUAGUACGAGAGGAACGGAGCGCCGGGGCCAACUGGGUACCGGUCCUCCUACAGGGGGUAGCCGGGCACCUGCGCCCCAGCGAAUAAGGGCUGAAAGCAUCUAAGCCCGAAGUCGCUCCCGAGAUUAGGCGGCC
rnacentral:rRNA from 1 species